rnacentral:rRNA from 1 species
GGAUAACUGAUGGAAACGUCAGCUAAGACCGCAUAGGUGUAGAGAUCGCAUGAACUCUAUAUGAAAAGUGCUACGGGACUGGUAGAUGAUGGACUUAUGGCGCAUUAGCUUGUUGGUAGGGUAACGGCCUACCAAGGCGACGAUGCGUAGCCGACCUGAGAGGGUGACCGGCCACACUGGGACUGAGACACGGCCCAGACUCCUACGGGAGGCAGCAGUAGGGAAUUUUCGGCAAUGGGGGAAACCCUGACCGAGCAACGCCGCGUGAAGGAAGAAGUAAUUCGUUAUGUAAACUUCUGUCAUAGAGGAAGAACGGUGGAUAUAGGGAAUGAUAUCCAAGUGACGGUACUCUAUAAGAAAGCCACGGCUAACUACGUGCCAGCAGCCGCGGUAAUACGUAGGUGGCGAGCGUUAUCCGGAAUUAUUGGGCGUAAAGAGGGAGCAGGCGGCACUAAGGGUCUGUGGUGAAAGAUCGAAGCUUGACUUCGGUAAGCCAUGGAAACCGUAGAGCUAGAGUGUGUGAGAGGAUCGUGGAAUUCCAUGUGUAGCGGUGAAAUGCGUAGAUAUAUGGAGGAACACCAGUGGCGAAGGCGACGAUCUGGCGCAUAACUGACGCUCAGUCCCGAAAGCGUGGGGAGCAAAUAGGAUUAGAUACCCUAGUAGUCCACGCCGUAAACGAUGAGUACUAAGUGUUGGGUGUCAAAGCUCAGUGCUGCAG